GCGGCGUUUGUGUAGUGGUAAGACCCCAGCCUUCCAAGCUGGAGACGCGGGUUCGAUUCCCGCACGCCGCUCCA
rnacentral:tRNA from 1 species